rnacentral:lncRNA from 1 species
GGAGAAUAAAUGAUCACACUGGGAAGGAAGAGCAACACUCAUUAUAUUCCAGAAAGUCAUUAUUAUUGUGACAGAGGCAAAUUUCAGGAUGAACAGUGCACCAAAGACCUUGCUCAGGAACAUAGUGACUGUGGUAUUGGUUCACCUCAGGCCUUGCUCAGGCAGAUAGUGACCACAGUACUGGCUCAGCCUGGUUGCUGGAGGAACUGAUGGACAGACAUCUUGUUCAACAGCUGAGGGAAAAUUGAGUAUGUGCCAGAAAACAUGACUAUGGGUCGACCAUCUUACCCUGAGUGAUGUGUGUAAUGCCAUCAGCCACAACGUCAUAGUCUUUCACAGGACAAAAGAAGACUAAAAAUGGAAAGAAAGAGAAGGGACAAGCCAGCCUAUCUAGAAAAUAUAGCCGCCAAGGAAAGCUGUGCCAGGGAAGAGGAACACACUGUUACCAAAGUCCAGUUCACAAUGGGUUCAUUCCUUCUGCCAUUUACACAAAGCCACAGCUGAUCAGACUGAAACAUUCCUCUUGCUGGCUCCUAUUCUUCCUUCAUUUUAUUAAUAACCUGGCAACAGGAUAGGGGCUAAGAAAAGAGACCUUCUAGAAUGGAGAAUUUACUGAAGAAACCAGAAGUGAAAGGUAGGUAUGGGAGUUUGAAGUCACAUUUAUUAGGUGACAUAGUUCCUUUAGAGAACGAGAAAAGGACUUUAGGCAUGAGCACAACCCAUCAGGAAAAUCCAUGGUGACCUGGGCAAAUUCAUGCAGCACGGAUGUUGUAGAACAGUUUUAUGGAAGUGUGACAUCUUAAAGUCAAAAUAUAUUUUUCUCUGAUUAUUUUUUGUAUUGAUGUGGGUUCUGUUUUGUUUUGCUUUUGUUUGUUUGACAUUGUUGCUGAUUUUUAAGUACCUGUCCUACAUGAUGAGAUCUUGCAGCUCAAUUAAAAAGGAAAUAAUUAUUUAAAGCAUUCUGUGGAAUGUGGAACAGGCCCUGGAA